GAAGCAAGCCAGUAAAGAACAUCCCUCCAUCAUUCCCCGCUUCCUACCUGCUUGAGUUCCAGUCCUUUGGUGAUCAACAGCAAUGUGGAAAGUAUCCAUAGAUAGAGUCGGGGUGGAGGUCGGUUAUGGUUCAUGUAGCUCCUCCCUGCUAGACGGCAUCCUCCUCCGGGGGCUCUUGGGGAAGUCUCUUGUACUGGGACUCUCGAAGCAGAAGGAUCUUGUCCACAUGCCCUUCGGUGGUGGUGUGAAUGAAAGAACUCAUUCGCCGCGAUACAGAAUGAGUCAGGCAGUUAAGAAGACAAGGCCGGAAAACCAGCAGUACUAGGAUAAAGAGAAUGGGACCCAUGAGGGAAGUCAACCAAGAGGGCAGCCAGGGUCCCAGCCCCAGCCACUGGAUCCAAGGG
rnacentral:lncRNA from 1 species